rnacentral:rRNA from 1 species
AGGAUGAACGCUGGCGGCGUGCCUAAUACAUGCAAGUCGAGCGGUAAGGCCCCUUCGGGGGUACACGAGCGGCGGACGGCUGAGUAACACGUAGGAACGUACCCAAACUGAGGGAUAAGCACCAGAAAUGGUGUCUAAUACCGCAUGUGAUCUUCGGAUUAAAGCUUCGGCGGUUUGGGAACGGCCUGCGCAUGAUUAGCUUGUUGGUGAGGUAAUGGCUCACCAAGGCGACGAUCAUUAGCUGGUCUGAGAGGAUGAUCAGCCAGACUGGAACUGAGAACGGUCCAGACUCCUACGGGAGGCAGCAGUAGGGAAUUUUCCACAAUGGGCGAAAGCCUGAUGGAGCAACGCCGCGUGCAGGACGAACGGCCUUCGGGUUGUAAACUGCUUUCUUUGGACGAGCAAGGACGGUACCAGAGGAAUCAGCCCGGCUCACUACGUGCCAGCAGCCGC